AUUGAACGCUGGCGGCAUGCCUUACACAUGCAAGUCGAACGGCAGCACGGGUGCUUGCACCUGGUGGCGAGUGGCGAACGGGUGAGUAAUACAUCGGAACAUGUCCUGUAGUGGGGGGUAGCCCGGCGAAAGCCGGAUUAAUACCGCAUACGAUCUACGGAUGAAAGCGGGGGACCUUCGGGCCUCGCGCUAUAGGGUUGGCCGAUGGCUGAUUAGCUAGUGGGUGGGGUAAAGGCCUACCAAGGCGACGAUCAGUAGCUGGUCUGAGAGGACGACCAGCCACACUGGGACUGAGACACGGCCCAGACUCCUACGGGAGGCAGCAGUGGGGAAUUUUGGACAAUGGGCGAAAGCCUGAUCCAGCAAUGCCGCGUGUGUGAAGAAGGCCUUCGGGUUGUAAAGCACUUUUGUCCGGAAAGAAAUACUUGGCCCUAAUACGGUCGGGGGAUGACGGUACCGGAAGAAUAAGCACCGGCUAACUACGUG
rnacentral:rRNA from 1 species